rnacentral:rRNA from 1 species
CCCCCGCGCCGUAGGGCCCGGAGGGGCGAAGUUGGGGCUUCGCCGGCGCACCGCGCCGGGCGCCGCACGUGGUGGGCGACACGAGGUUGUUCUCGGUGCGGCGCCCCGGAGCGCAGCCGGCGCCACGGCCCGGAGGACCCAUCGUGACCGUAGCGCGCGCCGCUUCGGACCGCGACCCCAGGUCAGGCGGGACUACCCGCUGAGUUUAAGCAUAUAAAUAAGCGGAGGAGAAGAAACUUACAAGGAUUCCCCUAGUAACGGCGAGCGAACCGGGAGCAGCCCAGCUUGAGAAUCGGGCGGCCUCGCCGUCCCGAAUUGUAGUCUGGAGAAA